rnacentral:lncRNA from 10 species
GUCUCAAUCUCCUGACCUCGUGAUCUGCCCGUCUCGGCUUCCCAAAGUGCUGGGAUUACAGGCGUGAGCCACCGCACCCGGCCUGUUCAUUCUUUUAAGGCCUUCAUUUUAUUCCUGUUGGUUUCACUCACAACUGAUAAAAAAGGGAGAUAUGCUUCCUGAGAGAAAGGACCACGCUUCUCCUGUUUACCAUGCUGUCUCCCACUCUAGCACAUCCUUCAGCGAUGCUGACCGGUGGAAACCAGAGCAGUACCUCGUGUAUACUACGCUAUCAAUUAGAAUAAAACCAUUCUAAAACUUGUAUGGAACCAAAAAAGAGCCCAAGUAGCAUCCUAAACAUAAAGGACAGAGCCAGAGGCAUCACAUUACCUGACUUCAAACUAUACUAUAAGGCUACAGUAACCCAAACAGCAUGGUACUGAUACAAAAACAGAUGCAUAGACCAAUGGGACAGAAUAGAGAACCCAGAAAUAAAGCUGCACACCUUCAGCUACCUGAUCUUCAACAAAAUCAACAAAAAUAAGCAAUGAGAAAAAGACUUCUUAUUCAAUAAGUGGUGCUGGGAUAGCUGGCUAGCCAUAUGCAGAAGAAUGAAACUGGACUCCUUCCUUACACCAUAUACAAAAAGUAACUCAAAAUGGAUUAAAUAUUUAAAUGUAAGACCUCAAACUAUAAUAAUCCUAGAAGAAAACCUUGGAAACACCAUUCUGGACAUUGGUUUUGGCAAUAAUUUAUGACUAAGUCUUCAAAAGCAACUGCAACAAAAACAAAAAUUGACAAGAAGGACCUAAUUAAACUCAAGAGCUUCUGCUCAGCAAGAGAAACUAUUAUAUCAACAGAGUAAACAGACAACCUAGAGAAUAAGAGAAAGUACUCACAAACUAUACAUCUGACAAAAGUCUAAUAUCCAGAAUCUUUAAGGAACUUAAGCAACUGAACAAGCAAAAAACAAAUGACCCUAUUAAAAAGUGGGCAACAGACAUGAACAGAUAUUUCUCAAAAGGACACACAAGCAGUCAACAAACAUAUGAAAAAUUGCUCCACAUCAUUAAUCACCAGAGAAAUGCAAAUCAAAACCACGACGAGAUACCAUCUCACACUAGUCGGAAUGACUAUUAUUAAAAAGUCAAAAAAUAACAGAUGUUCGUGAGGCUAUUGAGAGAAGGGAACACUUAUGCAUAUUUGGUGGCAAUGUAAAUUAAUUCAACUUCUAUGGAAAGCGGUUUGGAGAUUUCUCAAUGAAUUUAAAGCAGAACUACCAUUUGACGCAGUAAUCUCAUUACUGGGUAUAUAUCCAAAAGAAAAAAAAAUUAUUCUACCAAAAAAAAAAAAAAAACCCACUUACACUCAUAUGUUCAUUGCAACACUACUCACAAUAGCAAAUACAUGGGAUCAACCUAGGUGCCUAUCAAUAUAGUGGAUCAGAUAAAGAAAAUGUGACACAUAUACACCAUGCAAUAUUUUGCAGCCAUAAAAUAGAAUGAAAUCAUGUCCUUUGCAGCAAGCAAUAUGGAUGCAGCUGGAGGCCAUUAUCCUAAGUGAAUUAAUGCAGGAAUGGAAAACCAAAUAUUUAUAUUCUCACUUAUAAGUGAGAGAUGAACAUUGGGUAUUCAUGGACAUAAAAAUGACAACUAUAGACACUGGACACUAAAAGAGAGGAGGGUGGGACCAGGGUAAGUGUUGAAAAACUAACUGUUGUUUUCUAUGCUCACAAUCUGGGAGACGGGAUCAUUCAUAUUCCAAACCUCAGCAUCACACAAUAUACUCAUGUAAUGGACCUGCACAUGUACCCCC